rnacentral:sRNA from 1 species
CCGGUCAUUACAUCCUCGCGACUAAUGACAACCUUCAUCCGACGCCACAGAUAAAGCCUCUCAUUAGCCGCGCGAAUCGCUGUAAUAACGGAUCAUAUUUACAACAGCAAUACAUUACUCUGUUUUGCUGGCACUUCCUAGAAGAAAGGGGCCCAAAGAGGCCCCUUUCU